rnacentral:lncRNA from 1 species
UAAAUAUAAAAAAUAAAAUAAAAUAAAAUAAAAUAAAAUAAAUAAAAAGAAAAAGCAAAGGGUAAGGGCCAAACGGUAGCAGAGACGCAAUGUCGGUGUGAGGAACAGAAGGGGUAAGGGCAUUGCGGGUUGGAGGAAAUUGGUUGACGAAGGUGCGGGGAGCGGAAAGGAAAAAGUCAGGAGAGUUGUUUGUGUAUGGGAGGUGGAUGGUGGAAAGAGAAAGGAAGGGGAAAGGGGAAGGUUGCACACGACAGGGAUAGAUAAAUGUGCGACGAGGGACGAAUGGUGAUAGGGGUAGUGUGCGGGAUAGGGAGCCAAAGUGGACUGGUGUGUGAUUAAGGCUGAAGGCUGAACUGGCGAGGGGCUUGGU